GCGAGUGAAGCGGCAAAAGCUCAAAUUUGAAAUCUAGCACUUUCAGUGUUCGAGUUGUAAUUUGAAGAAGGUAACUUUGGAGUUGGCUCUUGUCUAUGUUCCUUGGAACAGGACGUCACAGAGGGUGAGAAUCCCGUGCGAUGAGAUGCCCAAUUCUAUGUAAAGUGCUUUCGAAGAGUCGAGUUGUUUGGGAAUGCAGCUCUAAGUGGGUGGUAAAUUCCAUCUAAAGCUAAAUAUUGGCGAGAGACCGAUAGCGAACAAGUACAGUGAUGGAAAGAUGAAAAGAACUUUGAAAAGAGAGUGAAAAAGUACGUGAAAUUGUUGAAAGGGAAGGGCUUGAGAUCAGACUUGGUAUUUUGCGUUCCUUUCCUUUUUGGUUGGGUUCCUCGCAGUUUACUGGGCCAGCAUCGGUUUGGAUGGCAGGAUAAUGACAUUGGAAUGUAGCUUUACUUCGGUGAAGUGUUAUAGACUUUGUUGAUACUGCCUAUCUAGACCGAGGACUGCGUCUUUGACUAGGAUGCUGGCGUAAUGAUCUUAAGCCGCCC
rnacentral:rRNA from 1 species